rnacentral:snRNA from 1 species
GUGUUCGCUUCGGUAGCACCAACACUAAAAUGGAAAUGACAUAGAGAAGAUUCACUUGGCCCCUGUUCAAGGAUAAUACGCAAAUUCGUAAAGUGUUCCAUAUUUCU